UUGCUUCUUCACAAAAGCUUAUCCCCGCCCCGACCGGCAGCUGCUGGGUCUCCCCAUCUCUCCUAAACUUCCCCCGGUCUUCGGCCCGAGCUGUAUGAGGCAGAAACUCGUCUCACGUACGGUUCGGAGGCCGAGCCCCACCCCAGCAGUAAUGGUGCGGCUUAGGUCAACUAACACAAAGAAGAUACAGUUCAUUCAACGAUUGCCUUUGGGUUCCGAACUCCAUAUGGGGAAGGAGCGUUGUUGUUUGCGAGGUCUCGAUCAUUUACAUGGACCCACUUUUCAUUCCAUUUGUGGCAAUUUGAUGAUCUAUAAACCGUCCCUAACGAACGAUCGGCUCAUGUUUGAGCAUGAUGAAUCACUUCGUGCCGACCUGUUGCCAAUAAACUUUCCGGCCUCAUAUGAGAAUGGAAAACUGGAGCAUUUUCUACAUCGGUGGAUGAAGAAUCGCGAACAUAAUAAUUUCUGGUUGACCAUGUUCCCAGAAAAAAGAUACUUUCGAGAAACGACGAGCACGACUGAAGUGGCUAUACAUACAAAUCCAUUUACGGAUCUAUAUGCUUCAAUUGGAACUGGAAGUUCCAGAACAGGCGGCUGGUAUACCACCAUAAUGAAACUGCCUUUUCUUUUUUUUAUUCGGAUAGGAUUUAUGUUGGCUUCGUCGGGAGGCUCGCGUAGUUUGUUACGUCAGCUCCAAAAGGAUAAGUUGCGUUGGAAUCGAGAAAGUUCUGUGGAGUUCAUAAUUGCAUAAAAGGAGUCAAACAAAGUAGUGGCUGCGGCGCGUCGAGGCACUUCUUCGAUGGUCCCCGUCCGCCCGGCCAGCCGGCCCACUCUGAAGAAUUAAUGGGCCGGCUGGCGGGCGAGACAGAAUGGGCGGGCACUACUAACCAAGCCAAGCCUAGUUCUCGUCGAUAGGCGCUGGUAGCUUGCUUCCAAGCCUUGCCUUAUAUAAUAGUUGUGGCCAU